ACAGCCGGAGUAUGAUGCACUAAU
rnacentral:siRNA from 1 species